UACGUAGGGGGCAAGCGUUGUCCGGAUUUAUUGGGCGUAAAGCGCGUGUAGGCGGCCAGGUAGGUCGGUUGUGAAAAUUGGAGGCUCAACCUCCAGACGUCGAUCGAAACCAUCUGGCUAGAGUCCGGAAGAGGAGAAUGGAAUUCCUGGUGUAGCGGUGAAAUGCGCAGAUAUCAGGAAGAACACCAAUGGCGAAAGCAGCUCUCUGGGACGGUACUGACGCUGAAGCACGAAGACGUGGGGAGCAAACAGGAUAGAUACCC
rnacentral:rRNA from 1 species